GAUGAACGCUGGCGGCGUGCCUAACACAUGCAAGUCGAACGAGAAGCUAACUUCUGAUUCCUUCGGGGAGAUGAAGUUGGUAGAAAGUGGCGAACGGGUGAGUAACGCGUGGGUAAUCUACCCUGUUAGUGGGGGAUAACCCUCCGAAAGGAGGGCUAAUACCGCAUAAGGUCUUCACUUCUUAAGAAGUAAAGAUUAAAGAUGGCCUCUAUACUAUGCUAUCGCUUCAGGAUGAGCCCGCGUCCUAUUAGUUAGUUGGCGGGGUAAUGGCCUACCAAGACCACAAUGGGUAGCCGGUCUGAGAGGAUGUACGGCCACACUGGGACUGAGAUACGGCCCAGACUCCUACGGGAGGCAGCAGUGGGGAAUAUUGCGCAAUGGGGGAAACCCUGACGCAGCGACGCCGCGUGGAUGAUGAAGGCCUUUGGGUUGUAAAAUCCUGUUCUGGGGGAAGAAACUUUAAGGGUCCAAUAAACCCUUAAGCUGACGGUACCCCGAGAGAA
rnacentral:rRNA from 1 species